rnacentral:lncRNA from 1 species
AGGUUACCAUGAUUUAGGCAAUGCCUAUUUCUGUUUGCAUUCGGGGGGUCAACUUCCUUUUCGGUGUAGGCAUCAUAUAUGUGUCAAGAGCCUUUUCCAAAAUUUUCACCCAAGGAGCGUUCAAAGGCAUAUAUUGGUUGAAACUAGGUCCUUUAGUUGGUUCUUUGAUUCUCAAAGUGUGCCUUUUACCAUGCAGUUUCUUCUCAGCCUUUUUAUCACUAGAUGAGGCUUUUGCUAGCAUAUGUUUCCUGAAGUCCCGUAUUCCUUCCACUUGCACGAACUUGGUCAUUCUUUGUGUAUGUUCGUCUAGGU